CAACCCUCAAGCCCUAGCGCUUGGUGUUGGGGAUCCUGCUAGCUUAGGCUGACAGGCCCCUAAAAACAUCGGCGGGCUCGCUGAGACUCCGAGCGCAGUAAUAUCAUCUCGCUAUGGAGGGCUCCGGCGGGUUUCCAGCCGCUAAACACCCUACUGUUUAACAAGG
rnacentral:misc_RNA from 1 species